UUCCACUGAAGAAAUUGGACCCUGUGGUGU
rnacentral:piRNA from 1 species